rnacentral:rRNA from 1 species
CCUACGGGGGGCAGCAGUAGGGAAUAUUAGAAAUGGACGAAAGUCUGAUCUAGCAACACCGCGUGUGCGAAGAAGGCCUUCGGGUCGUAAAGCACUUUUUGGAAGGAAUAGGAAGGAAUGUACUUCCAGAAUAAGUCUCGGCUAACUACGUGCCAGCAGCCGCGGUAACACGUAGGAGGCAAACGUUAUCCGGAUUUACUGGGCGUAAAGCGCGUGUAGGUGGUACUGUAAGUAGGGCGUGAAAGCUCCUGGCUCAACUGGGAGAGGCCGUUCUAAACUACAGAACUAGAGGAUGGUAGAGGGAGGUGGAAUUCCAGGUGUAGCGGUGGAAUGCGCAGAUAUCUGGAGGAACACCGGUGGCGAAGGCGGCCUCCUGGACCAUUCCUGACACUCAGACGCGAAAGCUAGGGUAGCAAACGGGAUUAGAUACCCUGGUAGUC